rnacentral:rRNA from 1 species
AGUGGGGAAUAUUGCACAAUGGGCGCAAGCCUGAUGCAGCGACGCCGCGUGAGGGAUGACGGCCUUCGGGUUGUAAACCUCUUUCAGUAGGGAAGAAGCGAAAGUGACGGUACCUGCAGAAGAAGCACCGGCUAACUACGUGCCAGCAGCCGCGGUAAUACGUAGGGUGCGAGCGUUAUCCGGAAUUAUUGGGCGUAAAGAGCUCGUAGGCGGUUUGUCGCGUCUGUCGUGAAAGUCCGGGGCUUAACCCCGGAUCUGCGGUGGGUACGGGCAGACUAGAGUGCAGUAGGGGAGACUGGAAUUCCUGGUGUAGCGGUGGAAUGCGCAGAUAUCAGGAGGAACACCGAUGGCGAAGGCAGGUCUCUGGGCUGUAACUGACGCUGAGGAGCGAAAGCAUGGGGAGCGAA